AGUGAACGCUGGCGGUAGGCCUAACACAUGCAAGUCGAACGGCAGCACAGUAAGAGCUUGCUCUUACGGGUGGCGAGUGGCGGACGGGUGAGGAAUACAUCGGAAUCUACUUUUUCGUGGGGGAUAACGUAGGGAAACUUACGCUAAUACCGCAUACGACCUACGGGUGAGAGCAGGGGAUCUUCGGACCUUGCGCGAUUGAAUGAGCCGAUGUCGGAUUAGCUAGUUGGCGGGGUAAAGGCCCACCAAGGCGACGAUCCGUAGCUGGUCUGAGAGGAUGAUCAGCCACACUGGAGCUGAGACACGGUCCAGACUCCUACGGGAGGCAGCAGUGGGGAAUAUUGGACAAUGGGCGCAAGCCUGAUCCAGCCAUACCGCGUGGGUGAAGAAGGCCUUCGGGUUGUAAAGCCCUUUUGUUGGGAAAGAAAAGCAGCAGGUUAAUACCCCGCUGUUCUGACGGUACCCAAAGAAUAAGCACCGGCUAACUUCGUG
rnacentral:rRNA from 1 species